AGAACUACUUGCUCAGUCUGAAAUGGCAGGCUUCUGUGUCCUUGCCAGUCUCUGUGCUGACAGGAGCAUGGAAGGGCCUCUGUCCAGGGACACCAUGCUGUGCUGCAGACACUGUUUCAUUUAACCCUCAUGGAAGCCCAAGGGCUAGGAUUCUAACAGCAGGCCACAGCUGUCCCUGUCCUUGGGGCUUGCAGACAACUGGAUAGCUGAGUGUGUGGGUCCACGAGAUAGCUUGGAAAGUAAGGGUGUUUGCUGCUAAGCCCGAUGACCCAGAAUUCACAUUACAAGGAAAGAGAACCGAUCCGCAGGAGCCCGUGUCUGCAUGCAGGACUCUGAAAAUAUGAAGCUUUACCUGAGCAGGAAAUAGACAGCCACAUCCUGCUUGGCAGUCAGGGGGCAGAGAGCAAGAGAUGCUGGACCUGAACUGGGCUUUUGAAACCUCAAAGCCCACCCCCAGCAGCACAACUCCUCCAACAAGAUAUGUCUGCUCACUAGAAUGUGCACUUCUUGGACACGAGUCACACUCCCCAGACCAGGAUAAGGCCUGCUUGUGUUUGCUGAGAUAAUAAAUGAGUGGACAAAGAAGCUGGAGAUGAGACUCUCACAGAGCAGAUUUCUCUGAGGGGAGAAACCAAAGCCUCAAAGCCCAGCCUGAGAGCUAAGGAGAUGACCUGGGAGGUUAAGAACACUGGCUGUGCCUGCGGAGGACACAAGUUUGGUUCCUAGCAUCCACAUAGGACAACACGGAACUUCUAUAAAUCCAGCCGCCCAGGAUCCGACAUCCUCUGCUGGUACUUACACUCAUUCAUAUUCACACCAUUUAAAGACUUUUGAAUGAAUCUUAAAAAUAGAAAAGAAACAAACAAGAGUAAGAAACCAAGCCUGGCAUUUAGCCCAUGUUUCCAACCCUUUAGAUGGGUUAUUUCAAUUAACUUUCAGAAUUAAACCACAAAGAGGGUUAGAGGUAUAGCCCAUUUUAAGAGGUGCUUGCCUAGCAUACACUACACCUGGUUCUGAUCCCAGGGCACAUACACACAAAAGUAGAGAGAUUAGUCUCCUCCAAGGGGGUGAGAGCACUGCCUAACACCACAUUAGCUAACACACGAUGGUCGUGAGCACAGGAUGUCACGUCACGCCCCAGGUGAUCUGUGCAUGUCUUCAUUGCUGUCAUUUAAUUCUACCUGACAUUUCUGUUUACCAUUCUGAUUACCAAGGGAGAUACGUGUAAUUUCCUGUCAUCCACCCAGUGUUAGCAAAACGUUAAGUCUUGACCAUGAAGGAAUUGUCUGGAUCUACUUGGGGCUGAUCAGUAAGUGGCCACUCUUUGCAAGUGUUUGCACAGAUGGCUGCCUCAGUACACAGAGGUGCUCUAGCUAUAAGGACGGAGGGCAUAAAAACAGUAAGCUGGGCUCGGGGCACAGUACACUACUGGGAGAGCGAGGCUUAGAAUGUCCAAGGUCCUGAGGUACCUUAUGUUUACAAUGAGGCAAAUCUGGGCAAGAGAUAGUCAGGCGUUCAAGGAGCAAACAAGUGGGAAAAGAUGGAAGUGUUUGGAGGAGACUCGAAGCUUUGUGUUUCCUCUUUGAAUCAUUUACUUCUCCAGCUAGUUAUUCUUUACGUUGUUUGCAAGGUCUUGUCUUUCCCAUUUGAAACACAGUUGGCCAGCAGCUGGAGAUGCUGAACACUGGCGUGUAUAAAACCCUAGACUCCAUUCUCAACAGGUUUAAAAAAAAAAAAAAAGGCUAGUCACUUCUGCUCCAGCAAACCAGGUUGUGACUUCCGGGGCUGCAGUGGCUAAGGACAGUGUUGCAGCAACAUAACAUAAUCAUAAAGACCUCUGCCUUUAUUGUCUGUUUCAGUCUAUGCCACAUGAAACCCUAACCAAGUUCUUCCACCAGUAAGCCAGUUAAAACAGCCAAGUUCACAGUGAAAGAGCUGAAAACGGAAGAGGGACAAAGAGAACAGCUGAUCAGGAUUCCUCUUCCAGAGCCAAACGUGAGGUUAGGUUUAAAUUGAAGCCAGAGUUGAUAGUUUCCUGACU
rnacentral:lncRNA from 1 species